GACGGAGGAUGCAAGUGUUAUCCGGAAUCACUGGGCGUAAAGCGUCUGUAGGUGGUUCAAUAAGUCAACUGUUAAAUCUUGAGGCUACAACUUCAAAAUCGCAGUCGAAACUAUUGGACUCGAUAUAGUAGGGGUAAAGGGAAUUUCCAGUGGAGCGGUGGAAAUGCGUAGAGAUUGGAAAGAACACCAAUGGCGAAAGCACUUUACUGGGCUAUUACUGACACUGAGAGACGAAAGCUAGGGUAGCAAUGGG
rnacentral:rRNA from 1 species